rnacentral:rRNA from 1 species
UACGUAGGUGGCAAGCGUUAUCCGGAAUUAUUGGGCGUAAAGAGCGCGCAGGUGGUUAAUUAAGUUCUGAUGUGAAAGCCCACGGCUUAACCGUGGAGGGUCAUUGGAAACUGGUUGACUUGAGUGCAGAAGAGGGAAGUGGAAUUCCAUGUGUAGCGGUGAAAUGCGUAGAUAUUAGGAGGAACACCAGUGGCGAAGGCGGCUUACUGGACAGUAACUGACGCUGAGGCACGAAAGUGCGGGUAUCGAACAGG